rnacentral:rRNA from 1 species
AUUGAACGCUGGCGGCAGGCCUAACACAUGCAAGUCGAGCGGAGCGGCGGACGGGUGAGUAAUUCCUAGGAAUCUGCCUGGUAGUGGGGGAUAACUUCCGGCUACGGGCGCUAAUACCUCCUACUAUCAGAUGAGCCUAGGCCGGAUUAGCUAGUUGGUGGGGUAAAGGCCUACCAAGGCGACGAUCCGUAACUGGUCUGAGAGGGUGAUCAGUCACACUGGAACUGAGACACGGUCCAGACUCCUACGGGAGGCAGCAGUGGGGAAUAUUGGACAAUGGGCGAAAGCCUGAUACAGCCAUGCCGCGUGUGUGAAGAAGGUCUUCGGAUUGUAAAGCACUUUAAGUUGGGAGGCGUUACCAACAGAAGAAGCACCGGCUAACUUCGUGCCAGCAGCCGCGGUAAUAC